UAGGGAAUCUUCGGCAAUGGGGGCAACCCUGACCGAGCAACGCCGCGUGAGUGAAGAAGGUUUUCGGAUCGUAAAGCUCUGUUGUAAGUCAAGAACGAGUGUGAGAGUGGAAAGUUCACACUGUGACGGUAGCGUACCAGAAAGGGACGGCUAACUACGUGCCAGCAGCCGCGGUAAUACGUAGGUCCCGAGCGUUGUCCGGAUUUAUUGGGCGUAAAGCGAGCGCAGGCGGUUUGAUAAGUCUGAAGUUAAAGGCUGUGGCUCAACCAUAGUUCGCUUUGGAAACUGUCAAACUUGAGUGCAGAAGGGGAGAGUGGAAUUCCAUGUGUAGCGGUGAAAUGCGUAGAUAUAUGGAGGAACACCCCGGUGGCGAAAGCGGCUCUCUGGUCUGUAACUGACGCUGAGGCUCGAAAGCGUGGGGAGCGAACAGGAUUAGAUACCCUGGUAGUCCACGCCGUAAACGAUGAGUGCUAGGUGUUGGAUCCUUUCCGGGAUUCAGUGCCGCAGCUAACGCAUUAAGCACUCCGCCUGGGGAGUACGACCGCAAGGUUG
rnacentral:rRNA from 1 species